rnacentral:rRNA from 1 species
GAGUGAAGGGGGAAAAGCUCAAAUUUUAAAUCUGCUAGGUUUUACUUAUCAGAAUUGUAAUUUGAAGAAGCGUUUUCCGCGUCUUGGUUAGCCCAAAUCCUUUGGGAUAAGGUAUCAUGGAGGGUGAGAAUCCCGUUCGGUUGACCUUAUGACGCUCUACGAUACGCUCUCUAAGAGUCGAGUUGUUUGGGAUUGCAGCUCAAAAUGGGAGGUAAAUUUCUCCUAAGGCUAAAUAACGGCGAGAGACCGAUAGCGAACAAGUACCGUGAGGGAAAGAUGAAAAGAACUUUGAAAAGAGAGUUAAAUAGUACGUGAAAUUGUUGAAAGGGAAACGAUUGAAGCCAGUCGUACCUGCGGGUAAUCAGCCUUUUGGGCAUGAUCCUGUGGAGCGUGAGGAGUUAAACGCCUUCAUGCCUGCAUAUUCGUGUACUUUGGGUGUACUUGCCUGUGUGUUAGUUAACAUCAAUUUUGGUUAUCAUAAAAUGGUUGGAGGAAUGUAGCUUCGAUUUCGAUUGAAGUGUUAUAGCCUUCGGCAGAUGUGAUGAUCGGGAUUGAGGAUUGCAACGGAUACCCUUCGGGGCUACCUGUCUGGUCUCUGAUCAUUGCUCUGGUGCCGAAAGCGUGCUUACGGUUAUCAAAGUCGAUGGUCAAUAGGUUAGAACGGGUUAAAUUCGUUA